AUUGGAUCUGGAUUCUGGUACUACUCUCUCUUACUCCUCUGUUUUUUCUCCAUGGCUAGGGUUUUGAAGCUACUAGUAAGCACGAAUGGUACAACUACUGUCUAGUCAUCUCGCAUGAAACAGGUUUGGUGUGUGUUUGUGUGAGUUUGUUUAGAGUGGAAAGUGUGGUUUAGCUGCUACUUCAAUACUCAAUACAAAAUAUUCUCUCCAUCUAAAAAGUUAUAAAGGUCCUAGUGAAGAAUACAGAAAAUUCGAUUGAGGAAGAACCAUGAAGUCAUUGGUUAUCAUUAGAUUCAGAUAAUUUAAUGUAAUGUGUUCUUGGUGAUUAUUGGAAUUUAAUCUGGCUGCCUAGGAACAAGUUGAUUUUUGAAGAUUAUCAAUUUUUUGUAAUAGAGGUUAUUAGUAAGAUUAAGUUUCUUAUGUAUAGACAAGCGCACUUGCAUUUAUUUUAGGAUCUUGAUAUAGGUUUUCUUGUAUUAGGAAGACUUUUAAUUUUCUCUAAUUGCGGGGUAUGCCCCGUUUAUUAUUGUAUCAUUUUGGGUUUAAUAUAAUUUACAUUUAAAAAAAAAAAAAGCUUUAACCCGAUCCUUGUUUGUAGAUAUCUAUACCAUUCACAUUAUAUUGAAACAUAUCAAUCCAUUAACAU
rnacentral:lncRNA from 1 species